AUGGACAAGGAGCAGCGGCGGAACAGCCCUGGGUACCGCCGGGAGCCCUCCAGCCAGACGUCGAGCUGGCUGUCACCAUCCCGUCUGUCUGCUUCAGAAGUGGGAUCUCAUUACGACUUCAGUGACAUCCAGCAGAACAUCAGACGAGGAGGCAGCACACGCUCCCUUCAGCUGGACUACAGAAUAUUUGGCUACAGCGGAGACCGAUGCCAGGAAGAUGGACAAGAGGCCGAAAGGAGGACCUUCCAGUGGGAGAGGAACCAGUCGGGAAAAUGGGAGAGGAUGUGCGUCCUGGACUGGGAACAAAAGAGACGGCACGGUGGGGAAGGGAAGAGCACAUGUGCCAGGAGCAGAGACGUGGGGCUCUGCCAGGAACUCCCAGACCGGCAGAAGCUGCGUGACCACGACAGCUGUGAAGACGUCUCCUCUCCUAUUUAUGAGGAGUACCAGGAGUCUGACAACAGUCCACAGCAAAUUCAAGCACCGGAGGGCCUUUACGACACUCUCCCCCCAGCCAGGGCGGCCUACGAAGGAUACCCACCAGGUCCUCCAGGCAUUAAUCUGCAUCCAGCCCAACUCCAGCCGCCUCUGCGGGCGUGGGACUUACAGACGGGGGAGUGGCGGGGAUCGCAGGAGAACCGUGGAGGACUCGGCUCAGGCAGCGCAGCAGGUUCUGGGGAUGAACUGGAGAGGCUACUGAACCUGGUGUCGCUCAGAGCCAGGAGAGCCACGAGAAUAGACAGAACUUCCACAAGAUCGGAACCCCCGACAGACUGGGACGGAUUUAACUGAGCAGAGAAAAGACUGAAGAUUCCUGUAGAGAUUUAUUCACCCAAACGUGGGUUCACCGGGUGAAAACGAGUAAACUGUAUUGUUAUUAUAGAGUGUAAUCCUAGGGUAAGCAAACACUAAUCUACUGCCAAUCAUUCUACCAUCUGCAGAAAGAACAGGAGAGAAAAGUGACACAUGCGUCUCCGGAGCUGGUUGAUACUGGCUGCAAAUCUUUGCUGCUACAUUUGUUAUUUAAAGAAUUACUGGAGCACGUUUUAACAUCAAAAUAUAAGGAGCCACGUUCACUGGAGGGUGCUGGUCUCCACACACAGAUGCUAGCGAAGCGAUUGAAAUUACCACUAACCGACACCAGGAGAGUUUUAUGUGACUUAAAUAGGAAUUUAAUAGUACUUUAACGAUCACAGAAAAUGAGCAAAUAUUGCUACAUAUUGUUUUAUUUGUCUUAAUCAUGCUAAUUACCGCCGGGUCUCGUUGAACUGCCUCCCUCUCAGAUCCUGGUGUGCACUUAGCAUUCUGUAUAUAUUCCAAAGCUUUUUUUAAAGCUCUUGAGACAGAAUUAAUCCUUGCUUUCACCUGGUGUUAAUGUCUGAUAUGAAUUUAUUUGCUGAAAGGCUUGGAGAAUUGUGUGGAAAGUCAGCAGCGAGCUCCAGAAUCAUUCACCCAAGACAUGUACACACGGCUGCUUGGUUAUAAGGCAGCGUAAAUCUUCCCUGAUCACAGGGCCGCACAAACGCGUCGAAUAUUAAACAACGCUGAAAGACAAACAGAGCGCAGGGGUUUUUAAGGACUGUUUGACCAAGCCUGAUCCAUGGUUCUCCCUGACCUCUCUUUCAGAUGUUCCCUUGUAAAUGUGAGAAACAUUUCUGUGUUGAAAUUGGAAAUAAAUGUACAGUUGCACAGAGGACAACUUCAUGCUUUAUUGAAGGACAUUAACAGGGAAAAAGUGCUUAACAUAUCUGCUGCUUUCAACAAAAGUGGCGUUGGAGGUAUAAAGAUCAAACGUUGAGAUAUUUCCACUGUGAAUUUUGACUGUCUGCCAACCAGUCGAGACCUUCUCUGACAUUUAACAUCAGCAGAGCAGUUUUGCCCUGUGGAAUGUUGCUCACUCUUUUUCCCCUUUUUUUGUGUGCAACAUUCCUGUAAACCCUGCAGUUAUUUGUGCAUGAAAAGUCCC
ensembl:lncRNA